rnacentral:rRNA from 1 species
UACGGGAGGCAGCAGUGGGGAAUAUUGCACAAUGGGCGCAAGCCUGAUGCAGCCAUGCCGCGUGUAUGAAAAAGGCCUUCGGGUUGUAAAGUACUUUCAGUCGUGAGGAAGGUGUUAAGGUUAAUAACCUUAGCAAUUGACGUUAGCGACAGAAGAAGCACCGGCUAACUCCGUGCCAGCAGCCGCGGUAAUACGGAGGGUGCGAGCGUUAAUCGGAAUUACUGGGCGUAAAGGGCACGCAGGCGGUUAAUUAAGUUGGAUGUGAAAUCCCCGGGCUUAACCUGGGAAUGGCAUUCAAGACUGGUUAGCUAGAGUCUUGUAGAGGGGGUAGAAUUCCAUGUGUAGCGGUGAAAUGCGUAGAGAUGUGGAGGAAUACCGGUGGCGAAGGCGGCCCCUGGACAAGACUGACGCUCAUGUGCGAAAGCGUGGGGAGCAAACG